rnacentral:rRNA from 1 species
UNUGACUUGAGUGCAGAAGGGGAGAGUGGAAUUCCAUGUGUAGCGGUGAAAUGCGUAGAUAUAUGGAGGANCACCAGUGGCGAAAGCGGCUCUCUGNUCUGUCACUGACGCUGAGGCUCGAAAGCGUGGGUAGCGAACAGGAUUAGAUACCCUGGUAGUCCACGCCGUAAACGAUGAGUGCUAGGUGUUAGGCCCUUUCCGGGGCUUAGUGCCGGAGCUAACGCAAUAAGCACUCCGCCUGGGGAGUACGACCGCAAGGUUGAAACUCAAAGGAAUUGACGGGGGCCCGCACAAGCGGUGGAGCAUGUGGUUUAAUUCGAAGCAACGCGAAGAACCUUACCAGGUCUUGACAUCCCGAUGCUAUUCUUAGAGAUAGGAAGUUACUUCGGUACAUCGGAGACAGGUGGUGCAUGGUUGUCGUCAGCUCGUGUCGUGAGAUGUUGGGUUAAGUCCCGCAACGAGCGCAACCCUUAUUGUUAGUUGCCAUCAUUAAGUUGGGCACUCUAGCGAGACUGCCGGUAAUAAACCGGAGGAAGGUGGGGAUGACGUCAAAUCAUCAUGCCCCUUAUGACCUGGGCUACACACGUGCUACAAUGGUCGGUACAACGAGUUGCGAGCCGGUGACGGCAAGCUAAUCUCUGAAAGCCGAUCUCAGUUCGGAUUGGAGGCUGCAACUCGCCUCCAUGAAGUCGGAAUCGCUAGUAAUCGCGGAUCAGCACGCCGCGGUGAAUACGUUCCCGGGCCUUGUACACACCGCCCGUCACACCACGAGAGUUUGUAACACCCGAAGUCGGUGAGGUAACCUUUUAGGGGCCAGCCGCC